rnacentral:rRNA from 1 species
AGAGUUUGAUCCUGGCUCAGGAUGAACGCUGGCGGCAUGCCUAAUACAUGCAAGUCGAACGAGGGUCCUUCGGGACUCGAGUGGCGAACGGGUGAGUAACACGUAGGGAACCUGCCCGUGCGACCGGGAGAACUUUCGGAAACGGAAGCUGAUACCGGAUAGGGACAGAGACGGCAUCGACUCUGUGUUAAAGGAGCUGAAAGGCUCCGCGCACGGAUGGACCUGCGGUGCAUUAGCUAGUUGGUGAGGUAACGGCCCACCAAGGCGACGAUGCAUAGCCGGCCUGAGAGGGCGGACGGCCACACUGGGACUGAGACACGGCCCAGACUCCUACGGGAGGCAGCAGUAGGGAAUUUUCGUCAAUGGGCGCAAGCCUGAACGAGCAAUGCCGCGUGAACGAGGAAGGUCUUCGGAUCGUAAAGUUCUGUUGAAGGGGAAAAAGAGCGGAGAGAGGAAAUGAACUCCGAUUGAUAUUACCCUUCGAGGAAGUCACGGCUAACUACGUGCCAGCAGCCGCGGUAAUACGUAGGUGGCGAGCGUUAUCCGGAAUGAUUGGGCGUAAAGGGUGCGUAGGCGGCCUGCUAAGUCUGGAGUGAAAGGUACCGGCUCAACCGGUACAGGCUCUGGAAACUGGCGGGCUAGAGAGCAGGAGAGGGCGGUGGAACUCCAUGUGUAGCGAUAAAAUGCGUAGAUAUAUGGAAGAACACCAGUGGCGAAGGCGGCCGCCUGGCCUGUUACUGACGCUGAGGCACGAAAGCGUGGGGAGCAAAUAGGAUUAGAUACCCUAGUAGUCCACGCCGUAAACGAUGAGGACCAAGUGUUGGGGAAGACCCAGUGCUGCAGUUAACGCAGUGAGUCCUCCGCCUGGGGAGUAUGCACGCAAGUGUGAAACUCAAAGGAAUUGACGGGGGCCCGCACAAGCGGUGGAGUAUGUGGUUUAAUUCGAAGCGACGCGAAGAACCUUACCAGGCCUUGACAUAGGGUGCGAAGCUAUGGAGACAUAGUGGAGGUAAACAUCCAUACAGGUGGUGCAUGGUUGUCGUCAGCUCGUGUCGUGAGAUGUUCAGUUAAGUCUGGCAACGAGCGCAACCCUCGUGAUGUGUUACCAAUAUCGAGUUAGGGACUCACAUCAGACUGCCGGUGAGAAACCGGAGGAAGGCGGGGAUGACGUCAAAUCAUCAUGCCCCUUAUGGCCUGGGCUACACACGUACUACAAUGGCGGCGACAGAGGGCAGCGAGCCUGCGAAGGCAAGCGAAUCCCCAAAAAGCCGUCCCAGUUCGGAUUGGAGUCUGCAACCCGACUCCAUGAAGUUGGAAUCGCUAGUAAUCGCGGAUCAGCAUGCCGCGGUGAAUACGUUCUCGGGCCUUGCACACACCGCCCGUCAA